AGAGUUUGAUCCUGGCUCAGGAUUAACGCUGGCGGUGUGCCUUUACAUGCAAGUUGAGCGUGCCCGCAAGGGUAUCGCGGCAAACGGGUGAGUAAUAAAUAGGGAAUCUGCCCUCAAGUUCGGGAAAACCAGUCGAAAGAUUGAACAAUACCGGAUAAUGAUGCGGAGGAAAACCUCUGUAAAGAAAGGCGGCGCAAGCUGUCGCUUCUGGAUGAACCUAUUCACUAUCAGCUAGUUGGUGAGGUAAAAGCUGCACCAAGGCUAUGACGGUUAGCUGGUCUGAGAGGACGGACAGCCACAUUGGGACUGAGACACGGCCCAGACUCCUACGGGAGGCAGCAGUCGGGAAUUUUUGUCAAUGGGCGAAAGCCUGAACGAGCGACACCGCGUGAACGACGAAGAUCUUAGGAUUGUAAAGUUCUUUUGCUUGAGAAGAACACGGUUGCGACAACAUCAAAACCGUCUGACGGUACCAAGCGAAUAAGCUCCAGCCAACUACGUGCCAGCAGCUGCGGUAAUACGUAGGGAGCGAGCGUUAUCCGGAAUUACUGGGUGUAAAGGGUGCGCAGGCGUCUUGUUGUGUUAGGAGUUAAAUCUCAAGGCUUAACCUUGGGGCUGCUCCUAAAACUGGCAGGAUAGAGUGUGGAAGACGGAAGUGGAAUUUCUAGUGGAGAGGUAAAAUCCGUUGAUAUUAGAAGGAACACCCGUGGUGUAAACGGCUUCCGAGUCCAUAACUGACGCUCAGGCACGAAAGCUAGGGUAGCAAACAGGAUUAGAUACCCUGGUAGUCCUAGCCAUAAACGAUGAAUACUUGGUGGUGGGCAGUGCAAUCUGUUCACCGCCGUAGCUAACGCGUUAAGUAUUCCACCUGGGGACUACGGCCGCAAGGUUGAAACUCAAAGGAAUUGACGGGUCCCCGCGCAAGCAGCGAGGCAUGUGGUUUAAUUCGAUGCUACACGAAGAACCUUACCUGGGCUUGACAUGCAAUAGAAAGCUUUAUGAAAGUAGAGCCCUUCUAGGAGCAAUCUUAGAACUGUUGCACAGGUGCUGCAUGGUUGUCGUCAGCUCGUGUCGUGAGAUGUAAGGUUAAGUCCUUAAACGAGCGCAACCCCUGUUGUUAGUUGCCAUCGGUUCGGCCGGGCACUCUAACGAGACCGCCAGUGACAAACUGGAGGAAGGUGGGGAUGACGUCAAAUCCUCAUGGCCUUUAUGUCCAGGGCUACACACAUGCGACAAUGGUACGGACAGCGGGAUGCAAAGCCGCAAGGCUGAGCCAAUCCACAAACCGUGCCCCAGUACAGAUCGUGGGCUGCAAUUCGCCCGCGUGAAGAUGGAGUUGCUAGUAAACGCAGGUCAGACAUACUGCGUUGAAUACGUUCCCGGGGAUUGUACACACCGCCCGUCACACCACCCGAGUCGUGUGCACCAGAAGUCGGUAUCUCUAACGCAAGAGGAGACCGCCGAAGGUGUGCUCGGUAAGGAGGGUGAAGUCGUAACAAGGCA
rnacentral:rRNA from 1 species